GGUAGUUGGGUGGCAGAAGCGGCGGAAUGACGGCGGGGGGAGGCGUGGGCAGUAAUCAGGGGGGGUAAAGCGCGUGUAGGCGGUUCGGUAAGUCUGCUGUGAAAGUCCAGGGCUCAACCCUGGGAUGCUGGUGGAGACGGUCGGGCUAGAGUGCGGAAGAGGCGAGUGGAAUUCCCGGUGUAGCGGUGAAAUGCGCAGAUAUCGGGAGGAACACCAAUUGCGAAGGCAGCUCGCUGGGACGUCACUGACGCUGAGACGCGAAAGCGUGGGGAGCAAACAGGAUUAGAUACCCUGGUAGUC
rnacentral:rRNA from 1 species